AGACGCGUAGCUCAGUGGGAGAGCACUACACUGACACUGUAGGGGUCCGCGGUUCAAUCCCGCGCGCGUCUACCA
rnacentral:tRNA from 1 species